rnacentral:lncRNA from 1 species
UGAAUAAGUUGUCUCCGUUUGGCCUUUACAGGUAUGUAUGUAUUCUAGAUUCCAAAAGGUGAAUACUGAUUGAAUGUAUCUAACAGUUAGUGAUCUGGCUCUGGCUUGUUCCAGGUGUGGAUCUGAUAGGGUUUGCAUUGGCUUAUUUCAGGUUGGAUGGGAUAAGGUUUGUAAAUGAAUCUCUUCACCUAGAUACAUUUAGGCCUCUCUUUUUUUCUGUACUACCUCAUGUCGCACUCUAGAAGCUUUGACAUGGCUCUGAACCAUCGAUCCGAUGGUUGAUGUGAUUUUUCUGAUGAUACAUCAAAAAAGCCUGAACUGUUUUGCAGAGAAUGGUCCAUUAUCCCUGGGAAGGGUGAGUUGAUGGACAGGGACUCCUUAAACCAUCUUAUUGGUCUCCAACUCUGGAAGUCAAACAGACAUGAAGCAGUAACAUGAUCUAACAAAAGCAAUUGCUCAGUUUCAUAUCUGAACUGUUCUUUAUUGGUAUCUUGACCAUGAUUGUAUUUAUUCUUGCCUCUUGUACCUGGUCUUAGGCAGGAAAAGAACUGUUUUUUUAGUUCCUCUAGUUUGAUCAAAUUAUGAUGCAUUUCAGGAAAAGACAUUUCGUCAUCCUUUUAUUUUCUUACACGUAAUGAUGAUGCUGAAGGUCCAUAAAGGAGAUUAGAGCGGGGCGGUUGAGCAUGAC